UAAUGAGAACUUGACCAAAGCUUAGAAUAGUAUCACUUAAGUGAUAUUCGGUUGAUGCCUGGAGCCCGUGAAAACAGAGUCAUAAAAAAUCUUAAUAACUCGUACCAAGAACCAGCACUGGUGCCCCUAGGUGAGAAGCCUAAAGUGUGAAAGGACAAUCUAGGUAAGGGAACUCGGCAAAUUGGCCCCGUAACUUCGGGAUAAGGGGUCCCUGGUUUCGUGUUCGUAUGAAUGCGAUUUCAGGGUGCAAAAACCAAGGACGACCGACUGUUUAACAAAAACACAACUUACUGCUAGCCUGUAAAGGUUUGUAUAGUAGGUGACGUCUGCUCAGUGUCAGUAUCUAAAACUCCUUUUCAAGGGAGCUAAGGACUGAUAAACAGCGGGGGUAACUAUAACUCUCUUAAGGUAGCGAAAUACCUUGUCGUUUGAUUGACGACGUGCAUGAAUGGCGUAACGAGUUGUCCACUGUCCCUAUCUAGAACCUUCUGAACACUCUCUUCGGUGUGAAGGCCGAAGACUUCCAGUGGGUCGUGAAGACCCCGUGAAACUUUACUGUAGCCUGUUAUUUCGACGCGAGCCUUGAUGUGUAGUGUAAGUGGAAGACGUUUGAGGCGUGGCUGCUAGGUCACGUUUAGUCGAAAGAUGAAACACCACUCUUUGAGGUUUACGCCGAUCAUCAAUUAAUUGAAACAGUAGCAGGUGGACAGUUUAGCUGGGGCGGCAUACCCAUGAAAAGAUAUCAUGGGUGCUCAACGGUUGACUCAACCGGGUCAGAAAUCCGGUGUAGAGUGCAAGGGCAAAAGUCAGCCUAACUGGACUCUUAAUAAGACAGAUUUCGGUAGGGAAACCUGGGCCUAGCGAACCACGAUACCUCCUUGAUGGGGGUUCGUGCUGACCGAAAAGUUACUCCGGGGAUAACAGGGUUGUCGCGCCCGAGAGUUCACAUCGACGGCGCGGCUUGCUACAUCGUUGUCGGCUCUUCCUAUCCUGGGCGUGCAGAAGCGUCCAAGGGUGGGGGUGUUCACCCAUUAAAAGGGAUGUUAGCUGGGUUCACAACGCUGUGAGGCAGUUGGUUUAAUAACUACUGGGAGUGCACAAUGUCUGAAAGGAAGGAACAUUUAGUACGAGAGGAACGAUGUCCCGUCGCCUCUGGUCGAUCUGUUGUCUUACAAGGCAUGCAGAGCAGCUACGCGAUAAGGGAUAAUGGCUGAAAGCAUCUAAGCCAGAAACCCACCUUGAAAAGAGACAUGAGGAAUACUUAUAGAAGAUAAGUUUAAUGGAACUGGGGUGUAAGCAUCAAGCGCAAGCGAGGUGUUCAGCCUGCAGUCCCCAACAAUUCCGUC
rnacentral:rRNA from 1 species